UAUAGUUAUAUCCUUGUUUUUAUGUUGUUCAUGCAAGUUUUGGUCAAAGAUACCUUUAAUAAUGCAGAUUGGUUUUCUUAAACAAAUUAGUAUUCUAGCUUUAAUUCUGAUUUUGAUCAUUUUUAUGAUUUCAUCUAACCAGGUUCUACUUUGCAAACCAGAAGACGUCAAAAGAAUUAUGGGAAUUCUUAAUGACAGCUGUCCACCGCUGCAUUCUUGUCUUUCUGAAGAUACGAAUGGGAUGACCCAUGCAAUCUUAGAAGUUGUCGCUGGUGGAAUUGUUCAAACUGCCAAUGAUAUUCAUCGAUAUGUGAGGUGUACUCUUCUCAAUUCUACAAAGCCAUUUGAAGAUGUAGUGAAGUCAGGACAGGAUUCUCUCAGAUGGUUAUGCCACAGAAAAUUUAUUGAAUGGAAUGAAGACACUAAGUUAUACAGCACCACACCUCUUGGACGUGCAUCUUUUGAUUGUACUGGAUGACCUUUCAAGGGCUAGAGAAGGAUUUGUGCUUGCAUCUGAUUUGCAUUUAGUAUACUUAGUUACACCCACCAAUGUUGAAGUUGAGCCAGAUUGGAAAUUAUACUAUGAAAGAUUCAUGCAAUUGUCUACUCUUGACCAGCAUGCAGCGUGCUCAUCUGCAGAUGGACGACAGACAAUCAAAAACAGCUUUAGAAGAGGAAAAACUCGAAGAUGCAGUCAGUUGUAGGGCGAAGUACUUCUCUGAUUACCAGGCUCUUGCUGUAGUUUUGUAACACACAGGAAACUUUAAUCAGGUAACUGGUGAAGGAGAUGACAAAUAUUUGAUUGCUACUGCUGAACAGCCACUAUGUGCUUAUCAUCUAGAUGAUUGGAUCCAUCCUUCACAGCUACCAAUAAGGUAUUAUAGCCAAGUUUGGUCUAAACCAAGGGAUGAGCCUUUACACCUUCGCUGUCUACCGGAAUGUUGUCGCCGCUCUUGUCUUUGCUCCUUUUGCUCUCCUCUUUGAAAGGAAAGUAAGGCCAAGGAUGACCACUUCUGUCUUCUUGAAGAUAAUGUUACUGGGCUUGUUGGAGUAAUUAAUUUAUCUUUUCACCUCAAAAAGCAAAUCCUUAUAAAUUAAUUUAAUUAUGCU